AACGAACGCUGGCGGCAGGCUUAACACAUGCAAGUCGAACGCCCCGCAAGGGGAGAGGCAGACGGGUGAGUAACACGUGGGAACAUGCCCAAAGGUACGGAAUAUUCUCGGGAAACUGGGAGCAAUACCGUAUGUGCCCGAAAGGGGAAAGAGUUAUCGCCUUUGGAUUGGCCCGCGUUGGAUUAGCUAGUUGGUGGGGUAAAAGCCUACCAAGGCGACGAUCCAUAGCUGGUCUGAGAGGACGACUAGCCACACCGGGACUGAGACACGGCCCAGACUCCUACGGGAGGCAGCAGUGGGGAAUCUUGGACAAUGGGCGCAAGCCUGAUCCAGCCAUGCCGCGUGAGUGAUGAAGGCCCUAGGGUUGUAAAACUCUUUCGUGGGGGACGAUAAUGACGGUACCCCAAGAAGAAGCUCCGGCUAACUUCGUGCCAGCAGCCGCAGUAACAC
rnacentral:rRNA from 1 species